UGAAAGGCUAAUCAAACUCGGUGAUAGCUGGUUCUCCCCGAAAGCUAUUUAGGUAGCGCCUCGGACGAAUACCAUUGGGGGUAGAGCACUGUUUCGGCUAGGGGGUCAUCCCGACUUACCAAACCGAUGCAAACUCCGAAUACCAAUGAGUACUAUCCGGGAGACAGACUGCGGGUGCUAACGUCCGUAGUCAAGAGGAAAACAAUCCAGACCGCCAGCUAAGGCCCCAAAAUUAUAGUUAAGUGGGAAACGAUGUGGGAAGGCAUAGACAGCUAGGAGGUUGGCUUAGAAGCAGCCACCCUUUAAAGAAAGCGUAAUAGCUCACUAGUCGAGUCGGCCUGCGCGGAAGAUGUAACGGGGCUAAAACUAUAUGCCGAAGCUGCGGAUUUGCAAUUUAUUGCAAGUGGUAGGGGAGCGUUCUGUAAGCCGAUGAAGGUGUAUUGAGAAGUAUGCUGGAGGUAUCAGAAGUGCGAAUGCUGACGUGAGUAACGACAAUGCGAGUGAAAAACUCGCACGCUGAAAGACCAAGGGUUCCAGUCCAACGUUAAUCGGGGCUGGGUGAGUCGACCCCUAAGGCGAGGCCGAGAGGCGUAGUCGAUGGGAAAUUGGUUAAUAUUCCAAUACUUCUGUGUAAUGCGAUGAGAGGACGGAGAAGGUUAAGUCAGCCUGGCGUUGGUUGUCCAGGUGGAAGGUUGUAGGCAUGUAUCUUAGGCAAAUCCGGGGUACUCUAUGCUGAGAACUGAUAGCAAGCUGUACUUGUACAGUGAAGUGGCUGAUACCAUGCUUCCAGGAAAAGUCUCUAAGCUUCAGUUACAUAGGAAUCGUACCCGAAACCGACACAGGUGGUCAGGUCGAGUAGACCAAAGCGCUUGAGAGAACUCUGCUGAAGGAACUAGGCAAAAUGGUACCGUAACUUCGGGAGAAGGUACGCUGCCGACGGUGAUAGGAUUUACUCCUUGAGCUAUUGGCAGCCACAGAAACCAGGCCCCUGCAACUGUUUAUUAAAAACAUAGCACUCUGCAAACACGAAAGUGGACGUAUAGGGUGUGAUGCCUGCCCGGUGCUGGAAGGUUAAUUGAUGGGGUUAGCGUAAGCGAAGCUCUUGAUCGAAGCCCCAGUAAACGGCGGCCGUAACAAUAACGGUCCUAAGGUAGCGAAAUUCCUUGUCGGGUAAGUUCCGACCCGCACGAAAGGCGUAACGAUCUGGGCGACUGUUUACCAAAAACAC
rnacentral:rRNA from 1 species